GGACAGAAAGCAUCAUAUGAGUAAAGAAUGAGGGAUACUUCCAGAAGUUCAUAAGGGAGUCUCCUAAACUCUGAUUGUAGGAACCACAGGGGUCAAGGACACCACAAGAAAUGUCACAGAAGCAACUAACCAUGGUCAUAGGGGCUCACAGAGACUGAACCAACAAGCAGGGAGCCUACAUGGAACAGAGGAGGAGUGGAUUGGAAGUGAAUUGGGACCAGCAGCGAGAGGUCUCAUGGAACCUGAUGGAAGAAGAAACAGAAACAAUGUAAGAGCCAGGGGUGAUGAAGGACACCAAGAAAUUAAGGACCUCUAAAUCAAAAUGAGAAUACCUCAUGAACACUCACAGGGACUGAAGUGGUAUGAUCUGGUUCUACAUGUGUCUGCACCAGGUCUU